GACAAACAGACGUUUCCAUCACCUCGUAGUCCGGUCAUCCCCAAGUUGACCCGCCACAGGGUCAAGCCGGGUCUGCCGGAGUGUCCCACAAGGAGGGAGCCGUGUGACAGAACCAUCUGUCUGCUUGGAUUUUUACCCCGUUCGUCUGUUUGUCCCCCGUUCGUAUGAAUGGCUGGUUUCUAUAGCCCAGCCAUUCGAAUGACUCUUUUUCCCGAACAAACCUGCCGAACGAACGGCCACCCAAGUGAGGAGUGUGCUGCUGGUUAACGAAGUGAUCCCAAUUAGAACGUUGUGGUUAACCGCAGACACUUCUCAAUUAAACCGAAUUCAGGGUGGUCGUCGUUCGUAUGUCGACCACGAGGCAGCGGC